GUGGCGUGCGGCACGCCUGUGUGCUCGAAAGGGUGCAUGGGUGUGUGCGGUAUGCUACUGGUUAGUGCAUUUGCGGGUGAUGUGCGCUGAGGCGUGUGGUGGUGUCCGGCAAACCGUUUGGAGAGGACUUGUCUUCGGACUUGAACCCUACAGGCGGGGAGUAGGAUUGCUGCUGCACGUAGAUAAAGCGAUUAGGUGGAAACGCGGUGCCAUGCCGUCGGGCUAGUUACUUGGUCGGUCGCAUGCGACUGCUCCUCGUCGGCUGGUCUUGGCGGUGUAGUGCUGACCUGGUCGACCCUCGGUGUAAAAGUCGGUCAUCUCUCCGACCCGUCUUGAAACACGGACCAAGGAGUCUAGCGUAUACGCGAGUCAUUGGGUGGAAAACCCAUAGGCGUAAUGAAAGUGAAGGUCUCUUUAUGAGGCUGAUAUGCGAUCCGUUGCACUUCGGUGUACGCGGAGCAGCAUAGCCCCGUCUCGACUGCUUGCAGUGGGGCGGAGGUAGAGCGUAUGCGCUGGUACCCGAAAGAUGGUGAACUAUGCCUGAGCAGGAUGAAGCCAGAGGAAACUCUGGUGGAGGUCCGAAGCGCUUCUGACGUGCAAAUCGAUCGUCUGACUUGGGUAUAGGGGCGAAAGACUAAUCGAACCAUCUAGUAGCUGGUUUCCUUCCGAAAA
rnacentral:rRNA from 1 species